UCUGAUAUAUCAUCAAUGCUGUAUUCUGAAUAAAAUAUUGAAAUUUGGAACUUCCACAUCAUUGCAUUCUGUUUUUAUUCACAAUUUGUACAGUGUCCCAACUUUUUUGGAAUCGAGUUUGUAAAUGCCACAUCAUUUUCAUACUUCUAGACCAAAUCAGGAGCAGCUAAGGAGUUGGAGCAGAUCAGGAAACUUGAGGAGGACAUAAAUGUCCAGAGAGAUGAUAACUCAACUCCUCCCACUUCUUCUCCUGCCUUUGUGCCACCCCCACCUCCACCUUCAGCUCCAGUCAAGCCCCCUCUAGUGCUGCCUGCUAGAGGAAACCCAGAGGCGGCCCGAGAGGUUUUUCUGGAGGCCAUUCGCUCAGGCUCUGGGGCUCAAUGCCUGAGGAAGCACAAACGGUCAAGAUCCUACUUUGCUCCUUGGCUGUGGAAUGAAUUUCAAAUUAAUGCUCAACUAGAAUGAAUUCCUUCUUUGAAUGUGUUUAAAAAUAUAUUGUGAUGUAAAAUGAAUGAAGUGUGUGGCUGUUUUAAUUAAUUUGGUGACAUAUGAUUAAUGUUAUUGUAUUUACCUUGUCUGUUUAGAAUUUGUUUUAUGUGUUUUGUAAUUAUGUGAAAUUUUAAUACGGCCAUCUUGGCCAGGACUCCCUGGAAGAAGAGAUUUCUUUUAAUCUCAAUGGGACCUUCCUGGAAAAAUAAAGGUUAAAUAAAAUAAAAAUAAAAGAUUCAAAAUUUUUAUUUGUCAAAUACAUGGUUAUAUAAAGAAUAUAUAACCAGCAGUGAAAUGUAAGUCACGUCUGUUCCAUGGACAAUUAUUAUUAUUGCAAUUAUUAUAGAAUAGAAACACAAAGAAAAUUAGAUAUAACUAUAGGUAUGGAAAAGGUAAGAUAAAAAAAAAAAGAAUAAAAUAAAAUGCGCAGGACAGUAUUCUUAAUAAAUAUUAAGAUGAGCAGGAAUGUACAUGAUAAGAAUGUGCAAACAGGUUGUACAGGGGAGUUACAUAGCAGCAAUAGAGGAAAAAAAGUAAAUAAAUAAUAAUUACAGAAAUUGCUGUGUGCAAGUGACAUCGGUCUUUCUUUACAUUGCUUUUACAUCACGACACAUGAAAUGACAAUUUGUAUGGAAUGUCUGCAGGACUUUUUACAACUUCAAUUGUUUUACAAUUUCAAUUUCAAUUACAAUUGUUUAGUCUAGAUGCCACUGGCAUUGUUUGUAAUUUUGCAAUGAUUGUCAUAAAUAAAACAUAAGCACCAAGCUGCAGACAAGUGCAGGGGAUUCAAUAAAUUAAUUGUAAAAAGUCUGAAAAAG
ensembl:lncRNA